GAGAGAGAGAGAGAGAGAGAGAGAGAGGCAACGUCAGGUGACCCAGUUUAUUAUUUUGUUUAUAGCAAAUACAGUCGCAAAUAUAUUGUUUCAAUGUGUAGUUAAUGGUAUUAAUGUAUUGUAUAGUAUAUGAUUUUAAUCUAUUUUAAUCUAUAGUAAUGGUAUUUUACCCAUGUCUUACUUUGGGAUAUUUGUAACUUCUGCUGUCUUUAUUUUAGUAUUCUGGAAUACUAUGGUUUAUUUUGAAAAUGUUGCUCAGAUGUCGCAUGUAUUCCCAUUCUAGAUUGAUAGAUAGAAUUUACGGUAGCGUUCUUUGGCCCGCUGUCCAAAGAACAUAGAAAACAAUACGGAAUGCGAUCAUCUCAUGUGCGGUGGCACCACAAAGUAGAUUGCAGAAGUUAACUCAGCAGCAUGGACGCGUUCCAGGCAGUUACUGCGACCGCAAGGGGGUAAGUAUUACUAAAAAGAAGCACACAAGUUUCAAACUUGCCGAGUGGACAGUGAAGCAGAAAAUAGAUUUGUCAAAAAGUGUGAGGAAAAUAUGCACUGUCUGCCGACUCACAUUUUCCAUAGUCCAUGUGGAACUGACUCACCUUAAGCAACACGGUGGACACGAACGAAAAAACGCACAACUAAGCAAGGGGGAACCUGGAGAGAUCCAUCAGGCAACGACAAAGAUGAUUAUCCAGACAUCCCCAACGUCAAAGCAGCAGUAUCUUUGGCCUCAGCAUCCUUAUUUUCCAAUGGGAUUUGUGGACAGGAAUGUCUUUUUCGACAUGUUCCAACUUUAAACUGUUCAUCUCAUGCUUAAUAACUGUCGCUCAGCACUGACACCUGGUGGACGUUAUGUUGUCAUGCAGAUGUUAUUAUGCCUAAUAAGAACAGAUUCAGAUUUGAUUCUUAGUAGUUACCUUGCUGACUGUUUCUUGUUGACUAAUACUUCUUGCGUAUGUACUGUUUUUACUCGCUUAUUGGUUUUCUUGCUUACUGCUUUUUCUAAAAUGUACAUAUUCA